AUGGCCGUCGUCGUGCCCCGCGCGGUGCUGCUUGCGGCCGUCGCGUCGCUUGCAUGCCUCGCCUUCGCGGAGCCGCCUCCGAGCGAGCGGUCGGCGCUGCUGGCGUUCCUCACGGCCACGCCCCACGAGCGGAGGCUCGGCUGGAACACCUCCACACCGGCCUGCGCCUGGGUCGGGGUCACGUGCGACGCCGCCCAAUCCACCGUCGUCCAGCUGCGCCUCCCGGGGGUCGGCCUCGUCGGCGCCAUCCCGCCGGCGACCAUCGGCCGCCUCCCCAACCUCCAGGUGCUGUCGCUCCGCUCCAACCGCAUCAUCGGGGGCAUCCCCGACGACCUGCUCCAGCUCUCCAGCCUCCGCGCCAUCUUCCUGCAGAACAACAUGAUCUCCGGCGCCAUCCCGUCGGGGGUCGGCAAGCUCGCGGCCCUCGAGAGGCUCGUCCUCUCCCACAACAAUCUGUCAGGCCCCAUCCCCUUCGCGCUCAACAGCCUCGCCUCCCUGCGCUCUCUGCGGCUCGAAGGCAACCGCCUCUCCGGCAAAAUCCCCAGCAUCACCAACCCGGAGCUCAAGGAUUUCAACGUCUCCGUCAACAGCCUCAACGGCUCCAUUCCGCAGGCCCUCGCGCGGUUCCCGGCGGACUCCUUCGCCGGGAACCUCCAGCUGUGCGGCAAACCGCUGCCCCCUUGCAGCCCCUUCUUCCCGUCCCCGUCGCCGGCUCCCGGGAUGAGCCCGGGCGACGAGCCUGCGACGGUGUCUAACAAGAAGAGGAAGCUCUCAGGCGCGGCGAUUGCGGGCAUCGUCGUGGGUGCCGUGGUCGUCGCGCUGCUCCUGCUUGCCGCCAUCGUGCUCUGCGCGAGGUCCCGGCGGCGGAGAGGCGCCCGUGAGGGAGCACCAAAGGGCACAUCCGCGGCGGCGGUGGGGCAAACAAGAGGAGUGGCUCCACCGGCGUCGGGCGAUGUCACCGGCAUGACGUCCUCGUCGAAGGACGACAUGGGAGGCGGCACCUCCGGGUCGGCGGCCGCGGCGGCGGUGGCCGCGGGCGCCGGCACGGGGGAGGCGAGCCGGCUGGUGUUCCUGGGGAAGGGCGCGGGGUACAGCUUCGACCUGGAGGACCUGCUGCGCGCGUCGGCGGAGGUGCUGGGGAAGGGGAGCGUGGGGACGUCGUACAAGGCGGUGCUGGAGGAGGGGACGACGGUGGUGGUGAAGCGGCUCAAGGACGUGGCGGUGGCGCGGCGCGAGUUCGACGCGCACAUGGAGGCGCUGGGCAGGGUUGAGCACCGCAACCUGCUCCCCGUCCGCGCCUACUACUUCUCCAAGGACGAGAAGCUCCUCGUCUGCGACUAUCUCCCCAACGGCAGCCUCUCCGCCAUGCUCCACGGGAGCCGGGGCUCCGGCCGGACGCCGAUGGACUGGGAUGCGCGCAUGCGCUCGGCGCUGUCCGCCUCUCGCGGCCUCGCGCACCUGCACUCGGCGCACAACCUCGCGCACGGCAACGUCAAGUCCUCCAACGUCCUGCUCCGACCGGACUACGACGCCGCCGCGCUCUCCGAUUUCUGCCUCCACCCGAUCUUCGCCCCGUCGUCCAUCCGCACCGGCGCCGGCGGCUACCGCGCACCGGAGGUCGUGGACACGCGCCGUCCCACGUUCAAGGCCGACGUCUACUCCCUGGGCGUCCUCCUGCUGGAGCUCCUCACCGGCAAAUCCCCGACGCACGCGUCCCUCGAGGGCGACGGGACGCUGGACCUGCCACGGUGGGUGCAGUCCGUGGUGCGCGAGGAGUGGACCGCCGAGGUGUUCGACGUCGAGCUGGUGCGGCUCGGCGCGAGCGCCGAGGAGGAGAUGGUGGCGCUGCUGCAGGUGGCCAUGGCGUGCGUCGCCACCGUGCCGGACGCGCGGCCGGACGCCCCGGACGUGGUCAGAAUGAUCGAGGAGAUCGGCGGUGGCCAUGGCCAGACGACAACCGAGGAGAGCGCGCGGGGCACCCCGGAGGAGGAGCGGUCGAGGGGCACGCCUCCGGCCGCCCCGACGCCGUGA
rnacentral:rRNA from 1 species